UCGAGAAUCUUCCGCAAUGGGCGAAAGCCUGACGGAGCGACGCCGCGUGGUGGAUGAAGUCCUUAGGGACGUAAACACCUUUUAUGAGGGAGGAAGUUUAUUGACGUUACCUCAUGAAUAAGGGGCUCCUAACUCUGUGCCAGCAGGAGCGGUAAUACAGAGGCCCCAAGCAUUAUCCGGAUUUACUGGGCGUAAAGGGUGCGUAGGCGGUUAUAUUAGUCAGGUGUCAAAUCUCCGAGCUCAACUCGGAAUCCGCAUUUGAAACGGUAUAACUAGAAUAAGUCAGAGGCAAGCAGAACUCAUGGUGUAGGGGUGAAAUCCGUUGAUAUCAUGGGGAAUACCAAAUGCGAAGGCAGCUUGCUGGGACUCUAUUGACGCUGAGGCACGAAAGCGUGGGUAG
rnacentral:rRNA from 1 species